UUUUAUAUAGUAUCUGAACAGAGGAGGAGGUGUAGUGUUUUAUAUAGUAUCUGAACAGAGGAGGAGGUGUAGUGUUUUAUAUAGUAUCUGAACAGAGGAGGAGGUGUAGUGUUUUAUAUAGUAUCUGAACAGAGGAGGAGGUGUAGUGUUUUAUAUAGUAUCUGAACAGAGGAGGAGGUGUAGUGUUUUAUAUAGUAUCUGAAUAGAGGAGGAGGUGUAGUGUUUUAUAUAGUAUCUGAACAGAGGAGGAGGUGUAGUGUUUUAUAUAGUAUCUGAACAGAGGAGGAGGUGUAGUGUUUUAUAUAGUAUCUGAACAGAGGAGGUGUAGUGUUUUAUAUAGUAUCUGAACAGAGGAGGAGGUGUAGUGUUUUAUAUAGUAUCUGAACAGAGGAGGAGGUGUAGUGUUUUAUAUAGUAUCUGAACAGAGGAGGAGGUGUAGUGUUUUAUAUAGUAUCUGAACAGAGGAGGUGUAGUGUUUUAUAUAGUAUCUGAACAGAGGAGGAGGUGUAGUGUUUUAUAUAGUAUCUGAACAGAGGAGGAGGUGUAGUGUUUUAUAUAGUAUCUGAACAGAGGAGGUGUAGUGUUUUAUAUAGUAUCUGAACAGAGGAGGAGGUGUAGUGUUUUAUAUAGUAUCUGAACAGAGGAGGAGGUGUAGUGUUUUAUAUAGUAUCUGAACAGAGGAGGUGUAGUGUUUUAUAUAGUAUCUGAACAGAGGAGGAGGUGUAGUGUUUUAUAUAGUAUCUGAACAGAGGAGGUGUAGUGUUUUAUAUAGUAUCUGAACAGAGGAGGAGGUGUAGUGUUUUAUAUAGUAUCUGAACAGAGGAGGAGGUGUAGUGUUUUAUAUAGUAUCUGAACAGAGGAGGUGUAGUGUUUUAUAUAGUAUCUGAACAGAGGAGGAGGUGUAGUGUUUUAUAUAGUAUCUGAACAGAGGAGGAGGUGUAGUGUUUUAUAUAGUAUCUGAACAGAGGAGGUGUAGUGUUUUAUAUAGUAUCUGAACAGAGGAGGAGGUGUAGUGUUUUAUAUAGUAUCUGAACAGAGGAGGAGGUGUAGUGUUUUAUAUAGUAUCUGAACAGAGGAGGAGGUAUAGUGUUUUAUAUAGUAUCUGAACAGAGGAGGAGGUGUAGUGUUUUAUAUAGUAUCUGAACAGAGGAGGAGGUAUAGUGUUUUAUAUAGUAUCUGAACAGAGGAGGUAUAGUGUUUUAUAUAGUAUCUGAACAGAGGAGGUGUAGUGUUUUAUAUAGUAUCUGAACAGAGGAGGAGGUAUAGUGUUUUAUAUAGUAUCUGAACAGGACUGGCCCACUUUUCCUCCUCUGAUGGCUUCCGUUCGACUGACGUCUCUGUGCCUCCCUGAGGUGACCCAUCUGUACCUACCCAUCUCUCUCUCUCUCUCUCUCUCUCUCUCUCUCUCUCUCUCUCUCUC